rnacentral:rRNA from 1 species
AGUGAACGCUGGCGGUAGGCCUAACACAUGCAAGUCGAACGGCAGCACAGGAGAGCUUGCUCUCUGGGUGGCGAGUGGCGGACGGGUGAGGAAUACAUCGGAAUCUACUCUGUCGUGGGGGAUAACGUAGGGAAACUUACGCUAAUACCGCAUACGACCUACGGGUGAAAGCAGGGGACCUUCGGGCCUUGCGCGAUUGAGUGAGCCGAUGUCGUAUUAGCUAGUUGGCGGGGUAAAGGCCCACCAAGGCGACGGUCCGUAGCUGGACUGGGGGGAUGAUCAGCAACACUGGAACUGGGAGACGGUCCAGACUCCUACGGGAGGCAGCAGUGGGGAAUAUUGGACAAUGGGCGAAAGCCUGAUCCAGCCAUACCGCGUGGGUGAAGAAGGCCUUCGGGUUGUAAAGCACUUUUGUUGGGAAAGAAAGCCAGCUGGCUAAUACCCGGUUGGGAUGACGGUACCCAAAGAAUAAGCACCGGCUAACUUCGUGCCAGCCGCCGCCGUAA